rnacentral:rRNA from 1 species
AUGGAGAUGGUAGAGGGUAGGAAAAUUGGGCGUGCCGAGCUUUACAUGGUUACGAAUAUGAAAAACAAUGGAUAUCCAGUCAACCAACAAAGUGGAGUAAAAAUGGAUGACAUUAAAAUAAGGAUUCGAGCAGAUCCUUCUUUGAUUGGUGAAGUUGCUUCGGAGCGCCUUUCUCAAGUUGAAGCUGAACUACAUGCUACUAAACAAGAGAACAUGGAGCUUCGGCAUGUGGUGCAUACUCUGGUGGCAAAUCAAACUUCAAUAAUGGCCAAGAGUGAGAGAAUGGAAGAACAGUACAAUGAGCUAAAGAGUUUGAUCAUAGCUUCUAGGGGGUCUGUUGAAAUGGGCGGAAUUCCAGAAAAGGAGCUUCCAAAUAAAGAUCCUUCUAAGAACUUGGAAACCAUGAAUGACAAAGAACAAGCAACUUCACUUUCAUAUACUACCAAGGCAUCUGAGGCAAUGGCUGCUCCAAGGCAUCCAGAUAAGGUGAAGUCAUCCCAACUGGAAUCAAACAAAACAAAAUCAGCACUACCAAGUCUUGCGCCUGUGCCGAAACCAAAGAAGAAAAAGACAACUAAACAUAAGAAACCAGGAAUAUUUCAAACACUGCUCCAAAAGGGGCCAAAGGGUUACUUAGUACCAUUGCAACUUACAAGAUGGCUUAGAAGAUACCAUAAAGUGUGGCAUGGAAAUUUAUGCAGAUUAUGA